ACAAGCAAAUAAUUAAAACUUUUAACAACGGAUCUCUUGGUUCUGGCAUCGAUGAAGAACGCAGCGAAAUGCGAUAAGUAAUGUGAAUUGCAGAAUUCAGUGAAUCAUCGAAUCUUUGAACGCACAUUGCGCCCGCCAGCAUUCUGGCGGGCAUGCCUGUUCGAGCGUCAUUUCAACCC
rnacentral:rRNA from 1 species